GAUGAACGCUAGCGGCAGGCCUAAUACAUGCAAGUCGUACGGCAACACAGUUGCGAGCAAUCGCAACCGGUGGCGAGUGGCGCACGGGUGAGUAACGCGUAUGUAACCUACCCUUCUCCGGGACAUAACUCCGCGAAAGCGGUGCUAAUAUCCCAUACCAACUCAUCAAGACAUCUUCUUGAGUUGAAAGCAGCAAUGCGGUGAAGGAUGGGCAUGCGUCCCAUUAGCUGGUUGGUGAGGUAAUGGCCCACCAAGGCUACGAUGGGUAGGGUUCUGAGAGGAAGCCCCCCAACUGGUACUGAGACACGGACCAGACUCCUACGGGAGGCAGCAGUAAGGAAUAUUGGGCAAUGGUCGAAAGACUGACCCAGCCAUGCCGCGUGCAGGAUGAAGGCCCUAUGGGUUGUAAACUGCUUUUAGCCGGGAAUAAACACCCGUUUUAUAACGGGCCCGAAGGUCCGGCUGAAUAAGCAUCGGCUAACUCCGUCCAGC
rnacentral:rRNA from 1 species